rnacentral:rRNA from 1 species
UCCACGUGUAGCAGUGAAAUGCGUAGAGAUGUGGAGGAACACCGAUGGCGAAGGCAGCCCCCUGGGAUAACACUGACGCUCAUGCACGAAAGCGUGGGGAGCAAACAGGAUUAGAUACCCUGGUAGUCCACGCCCUAAACGACGUCAACUGGUUGUUGGAAGGGUAACCUUUUAGUAACGAAGCUAACGCGUGAAGUUGACCGCCUGGGGAGUACGGUCGCAAGAUUAAAACUCAAAGGAAUUGACGGGGACCCGCACAAGCGGUGGAUGAUGUGGUUUAAUUCGAUGCAACGCGAAAAACCUUACCUACACUUGACAUGCCAGAAAUCCUGCAGAGAUGUGGGAGUGCCGCAAGGAAUCUGGGCACAGGUGCUGCAUGGCUGUCGUCCGCUCGUGUCGUGAGAUGUUGGGUUAAGUCCCGCAACGAGCGCAACCCUUGUCACUAGUUGCUACAUUUAGUUGGGCACUCUAGUGAGACUGCCGGUGACAGACCGGAGGAAGGUGGGGAUGACGUCAAGUCCUCAUGGCCCUUAUGUGUAGGGCUACACACGUCAUACGAUGGUCGGUACAGAGGGUUGCCAACCCGCGAGGGGGAGCUAAUCUCACAAAGCCGAUCGUAGUCCGGAUCGCAGUCUGCAACUCGACUGCGUGAAGUCGGAAUCGCUAGUAAUCGUGGAUCAGCAUGUCACGGUGAAUACGUUCCCGGGUCUUGUACACACCGCCCGUCACACCAUGGGAGUGGAAUCCGCCAGAAGUAGUUAGCCUAACCGCAAGGAGGGCGAUUACCACGGUAGGUUUCAUGACUGGGGUG